GUGGCGGUCGGACCGGUGGAGGUCGCCGCCUACGGCGCGGCCAACUUUUCGCGGUUCUGCUCCGGGACGUCCCA
rnacentral:tRNA from 1 species